rnacentral:lncRNA from 1 species
CUUGUUUAUUGUCACAGAGCUAAUAAUUAGCAGAUCCAGGGCUCCUGGGUGGAUGAUCUUUGUAAUGCACAACUCUGCCUACAACCAGCAGGGCCAUGAACCCCGGAAAGCAGCAAUUAGGCAUGCUUGGGAACAGUGUGAAUGAACAUGGAGCUGGGGGCCCUCCCUGGUAAGACAGAAUUUGUCCUGGGAAUGACAGUAACCAAGAGAUUUCAAUCAAAUAAAAAGGAGAGAGGGGAGGAUAUUCUGGAAAUAAAGGAACCUAGUGAAAAAGGUCACAGAGCAGGGUAAGAGGAGCAGACAAACAGCUAGUCUGCUCAGCUGAUGAAGAUGCCUCCCUCUUCCUCCCUGAGAAGCUGAGAUAAACAGGAAGGAGAGGCCUGAGUGUCUCCCACAGAUAAACAGGCUCCACCCAGAGCCAACAGUGCCUGUGUCUGGGACAGAGUGGGAGAGGACAGAAGUGCUCCUCCUCCAAGAACAUGGAAGUGGGCCUGGGAAGAGGGGAGGCCGUUUCCUCAAUCCCAGCCCUUAGCACCAGCACCUAGAGCUGAACCAGGAAGAUCCUGGGAGCUAAAGACAGACAGAUGCUUCUCUCUCCUCCUCCUUCUUCAAUAUACUUCAGGAUGGUGGGAACAAAAGCAGGCCGGAGCCAAGGGAACCGAGCCAGGCCAGAGGAAUGGAUCCAUCCUCCUGCCAGGAGGUCAGUGGGCUCCUAGGCAGCCCUGGGUGUUUCCCCUCCAGCUCUGAAGCCCCAGGAACACUCACUACUUUAUCCUCACCCAGGCAGGAGCCUCCUCAUCUCCCAGGGGUCU